rnacentral:lncRNA from 1 species
AAAUGGGUUUAAAUGGUAAAUUGCUAUGUUUUAAGAGAAAUUGUGAUUUUAUAAAAUGAUUUUAUAAAUUUUCUGAAAAAUCGAAUAUUGGUUUUGAAAAUAGAGUAAUUGGAGACUGCCUGCUUGUGUUGUAAAUUUAUGGUUUUAAAUUGAAUGGCUUAUGACAAUAUAUGAGCAUGAAUGGCUAAACUGAUUUUGGUGUCAGAAUUAUUUAUAUUGUGUAUUCAGCCUUGAGAGGCUAGAUUGCGAUAAAUUGCCAUGCCAUGCUAGAAUGAAUUUUAUUGAAUUGGUGGAGUAUAUAUUAAUUAUUUACUGCAGAGGGGGUUCCGUGGACCAGCCUAUUAGAGGGGCACGGUAAACUCCAUUAUAUUAUUACCUCGAACGGAGAGGCGCGUAGGGUAUCUCCUGGGGUAAAGCUUAGGGUUCACUUCACGCCAAACCACCACGUGAAGGGGAACUCAGCCAACGCCAAGGAACGGCUGUAUUUUUCUCAAACUAAAAAUAUAUUUUAAGUGUAUACAAAAUUUUAACAGCCUUGGCGGACUCGGUUGGAUGCCCUGCGCAAGGUAUCACCGAGUAUGAGUUUUGGCACGAGCCAAAGUUUUAAGAAAUUCAUAAGCCAAGUUGAUUACUCGAUUUAUAUGGAUUGAUUUUAUUUGGUUGAAAUGAAUUGAAAGGUAAUGAAAUUACAGUAUGAUGACUUAUUUUAAUUGUCUCCAUUUACUCGGCUUUAGAUACUUUAGAUGGUAUCUGUUUACUCACUGGGAUUAUAAAAUCUCACCCCUUCUUCCUAUACAUUUUUCAGGCUCAGGACAGUUUGUAGAUAGUCGAGUAGGACGAGAACUAAGCUCGGAACUGCAUUAUAGAAAGUAAGAGUUCACAGUCUUACAUCCUCUUGGUCAAUUGGAGCCCACGUGUCAUUGCAGAUCAAAACUUAUAUUUUGGUUAUCUGUAUUUCUAUUCAUACAAUUUUUACUUUACUUUCAUGUGCGAAAAAUUAUUUACGAAUAUUUCUAUAAAAAUUUAUUUUAUGAGAAAAUAGAAUAUUUUAUUUAUUAUUUUUGAAUAGUACUAGUUGUCAACAAUUUGCUUUCAAAUGAACGUUUUAGAUACUUAAUUGUUUUUAAAUCAUUAAAUAUAUAUUUUCUGCUUACCUACUACAUUUUUAGCAAGUUUUGAGAUUUUUGACGAAAAAUUACGAAAAUACCCCUGUGAGCCAGAAAAUAAUAUUUUAUUGUUCUUAUUUAAAAAUGACUUAUGAUUUUUUUGAAAUGCGAGAUUUAAUAACUGUUGCUCACCGGGGAGAAGCGGAAGUUGAUGCUAAGCCUUGCGAGGUUUCAAUCGACAUUCGGGGUGAAGAAUGUCUGUCGAGGCCUCGCGGCGGUUGUCACGAGUCCGAUGGGGAGUUCCGGGUCGUGACAUCUUGAAUGAGAGAACAUACGACACUUGUCUUGUUUCUUUUCAAGCACAUGUACACUAUAAAGGGAGGAAGAACCUAAGCCACCCAGUGUUUGGCCUCUAAGGGUUGCACAAACAGUUGCACUUGAACCUUCAUAAAGAGGGCGCUUUCUUAACUAUGCCUUUGUGCUAACAAGGUGGACAACAACUUGUGUUCUCCACACAAUCACACUUUUCCUAGCCGAAUCACAAAGUUGGAAAAUUAUUUUUCAACUCCCUCAAGAAAGUGUACGGUUAGGCUUUCUUAUUAGUUUUCUGAUGACUCAAAAAACUAACUUCAAUAAGCUAAUAUCAACCAAGAACUGUUAGGAUAUGUCCUUUAAAUCACUUGGGGUGAUGAUUAUUUUCUUGACCACUUAUUUGCCUUCACAUGCUUUUUGUUAUACCUAAAAGCAUCCUGUUUUGGCAUCCUUGGUUAAGCAUCUAUAAGGAUGAAAUCAAAGCAUAGCACUCCACACAGAAGACAACAUAGUGUUUUAAGUCUAGGAGUAUUCAUACAACUAACACAUGAGAAGUAUUGUAUAGAAACUUGAGUGAAACAUUAAAUACACUUCUCAUGGUGGGUAAUGUUCAGUGAACUUGCUCUCCUAAGCAAGCUCUACAUUCUAGUUUCAAGUAUCUCUAUAUUUCAACCUAUAAGAUCGGUUGCUUACUUCACUAGUAAGAAACAUAGAAUGUACCAAUUUCUAGGUAUCAUUGAUGUCCAGUCUUAAUGAUACUUCGACCAAAAACAUUUAAAAAUUAUAUUUUGAUGCAUAGGGAUCUCAUAACUGCAACCCAUUACAGUUUCCUUGCAAGGCAUAGUAAUCUCAUGGACUUCAUCUGAUUAUACUUAUAACCAAUUAUAAUUAAUGCCUUAUCGAUGAAGGAAAACCUCUAAUCAUUCAACAUGAAUGAUAUUAUUGCAUGAUUAGAAUCAAGCCUUAACCAAUCUCAAUUGGUUGUCGGGCUUAUCCCAACAUCUCUCACUAGCACAAAGCCAAUUGCUACCUCAUCGCAUGUGAAUGUAAUCCAUCUAGCAAUCGUGUCUCCUUGUAGACUCGUUUGUGUCUUUCAAUGUGGUUAAUUAUUUUUAUCUAUCUUUGUGUUGUCCAUGAAUCACAUCAUGUCAAAUUACUAUAUCUAGAUCUAAUGAGAUUCGGUUUCUCUUAGUAUGGCUUCAUUGUUACAUUCACAAUGUUUAUAACCUUACAUUAGUUUCGUGAACUAAUGACCUAAAUAUCCUCUUAUUUGAGCCUUUAAUAGGCUGUAUAUGACUUUGAUUAUAUACAUCUACAUAGUCUUCUUUCUUUCUUUGGAACCAUUCCAAUUAAACUAUGCUAUAUGCAUCAUAUUCAUUUGUCACUUUUCAUUGUGCCAUCCGCCCUUUUUGAAGUUUGGCAUUUUAUUUGCAUACACAUUGCAUCCCAUUUAAUUGUAUCAUCAAAGAAUUGUAUUCACUCCUACUAACGUCCUCAUAUGUAUGAGAUAAGCACACUUGUACAUUUUAUUAAAUCCAAGCCUUUGGCUCCCAUUUAAUAGAACAAAGUGCAUAACUCUAAUGAAAAACAUACUUCGUAGAUUCAUCUCGUAUGAAUAAUAUAUCUCUAAUGUAUCUUGCUAAAUCCAUGGAGUUUUCAUACAUAUAAUUAUGCAUCUUUAUGUAAAAUCUUAAGAGUUAGAUUCCAAUGUAACCAUGUAAUACUAAAGAAACUCAUUUCUUAAUGUCAUCAUGUUCCCACUAAAUCCAAGAUCUUUUGUGAGAGUACUAUUCGAACUCGUUUGAAUAUUCCAUGAUGUUACAUACAUACAUUUCAAUGUAUGCUUGGAAUCGUAUUGGUUUGGAAUAAUAUAAUUGGCUACAUAUAUAUUGGAGAGAUAUGGACCAAAUCAUAUCACUAUAUAAAUUUGCUUUUUUCUUUGAACAAACAUCUUUAUAUUCCAUUUAUAAGAAAGUUCCAUUCCACAUGAAUUUACAUUCAUCUUUUGAAUAAUUAAUUAAUAAGUAAGAGUAAUAUUCACUAAGAUCAUAUCUUAAUAAGAGUACUUUAUACUAUAUAGAUCAUAUGAUCUUUUCUUUGAAUAUUCUUAGCAUUUCAAGAAUUCAAAUUACACUUCUUUAAGUAUACAAGACAAAAUCUCAAUUUGAUCUUGUAUAAACUUAAUGAAUUAAGAACAUUUGCCGUAGCAUUUUAUGUUUAAUGGUUUGUAUACAUCUAUAUGUGUAAGACCUUUUGAACAUAUCAAGUCAUUCACUUUUGCGUGAAAAGUGAUUUGGUCAUGUAGAUAAGAAUUACUAGCUCCUUUAUGAUUCUCAAUCAAAAUUAUCUAAGUAUCAUCAUACUGUAAUUCUUACUUCAAUGACCAAUAUUCAAAUGUUAUAAUAUCAUAUGCAAUCAGUUUUCUUGACAUUUAUAUUGAGCAUUGACUUACUACUACUGUUCUGCGCUUUAUGUCAUAACUUAAACGCAUUCAGUAUCUAGUAUCGAAUACUUAUGAUGUUAAUACAAUAGUAGUAACUUCUAGCUCAGUCAUAAACUUUGGAAAAGUAGAAAAUUUCUAUAAGCUUUUUUGUUCUUUAAAUUUGUUAAGGAAACAUUUUUAGUCCCUCAUUUGUCCAUUUUUACUAUAAAGAUGUUUGAGAACAUUUCCAAAUUAGUGCCUUUAUCGUGGUUGUCUUUCCAAUUCAUAAUUAAAGCAAUGUAAAUUCCAUCUCAUGGAAGCUCACUCUUAAUUAUGAAUUGUAUUUGGUAGAGAUUAUGGAACGAAGUCAAUACUGAAUUCAUAAUAAACACAUUGCUCUAGCUUUACUAUAAAGCCUAGAAACCUUAAAUCUUUCUUUUAUUAGAACUAUCUUUUAUCUUCUCGCAUAGAAACAAUUUCUAUGUUAUCUCAUACCUUUACGUAUGACCGUGAUUAUAGAACAAUUCUUUUGAAUGCAAGGUCAUUCAUGUUGCUUUUGAAGCUUUAUAGUCAUAGUAGCCAACAUCACAUAUGUGGCUUAACGAGUCUAAUGAGCAUCCCAUGCUUUAUCACCAUUUGCCUCAACAUGGGCUUAUGGCAAAGCUUUCUAUUGAUAGACAACCUUUUGCUUGAGAACGUUUCUCAAGUCUUGGUACUUUUUAAAAGGGUUUGGUCUAGUGAGUUUAAUUUGCAUCCAAGAUGCACCAUAGUGAUAGAUUUUUAACCUUUUGCAAUGUAUAUAAACAUGUUUGAGUAGAUAAAGCAAUUGAUAAAUAACAUGCAUAAACUAUUUAAACAAGGUUUUAAAAUUUUAAAUAGUUCUCCCACUAUAUUCAACAUGAUGAUAACCCUCUAUAUCACUUCGAGAGAUCUCUACUAAGAUUCUCUUAGUGGGCUAGGAUCCCAUCCAUCUAGUUAUGGCCUUGAGUGUGCUUAACAAACCAUGAUAUGUAGAUUAUGUAGGUAACUAAGCUUACCAAUUGUAUCUCUAUACAACUCCUAGAUCAGCUAGGUGACAACACAUUGCCUAAACAUAUCAUAUAUGUUUCGCCUAGCCUUUGCCUCUAGUUCCAUAAUAAUCAAGUUUCCAAGCAUCCGAAAUUUAUGAAACUAGUUGAGUAAGACCAACCAAUAGCUCAAACAUACUCGUGUAAAAGUGUGACCUUGAGUGUGCUCAACAAGUCUUCGAUUAAAAACGUAGCUAGGUUAUCUUGCUAUGUGGUGGAAGGCAACUUGGUCAUGCGUGGCAUGUGACUCAAUAUAUAAUGAGGGAUUUGUUUUCGAUUUUAUUAAGGUCUCAUCUUGGCAUGCAUAACAUUUAUUAAAUCACAUAAAAUAAAUCUAUCACAUCCAUACUACUUUGUAUUGCAUAGCAUUAAUUAAAUUGUAUAAAUAAAUCUAUCACAUGCAAACUACUUUGGAUGAUUAUGGACUCUAACUAUACUAAUUUCUUUGAGCCAUCAAAGGAAACUAGCUUGGUCAAACUUAAGGGAUUACAUAUAAGAAUCUUCAAAAUCUACUUGUAAUCUCCUUGUUCUUUUUGGCACCUCGAAUCUCCAUGACAAUUUUUCCAAAAUUCAAUUCCUAAUCUAUCCUAAUUCUAAUUAUAUUUGAUUGUGCAAACCUCGAGUUAAAUUCGAGAGGAGUAAGAUGAGAAGAAUUUUACAAACCUAGAAAAAAAGAUAUGGUAAGACAUGCAGGCCCUAUUUCAAAAAUACCAAGAAUACACAUUCAACCAUAGCAUUAUCAUAUUGGGCCUAAGUUUAUAAUCAUCCACAUAUAUUCAUCAAUAUGAAUAAAAUUUAAAGACAUGUUUCAUUCAAAUUGCUAAUCAUAUAAAGUAUUAGAGAUUAACAAUUUUCAACAUUUUUUCGGAUAACCAUUUAAUUCUAUAUAUGGAAACUUAUUUCAUAUAUGGUAAGUAUUACUAAUCAAAAUUAGUAAUUUAUCCAUUCCUAAUCUUUUUAGAAUUAGAAUUAAAUUUUAUUACAGAUUAAAACAUUUUUAAUUUGUUAUCCUAAACACUUUAGGUAACUCUUUUACUAAUCCAAUUUAAUUAAAGAUUGCAUGUCUUCUAUUACCUAAUCUUUAUUAGGUAAUUUGGAUAAAAUCUAAGACAAGAAAAUCUUUAAUUUAAUCUUAGUAUCUUAUUCAUACUUCCUUCCUUAAUUAAAGAAACUUUAUUCAUGAUGAAAGACUUGCCUUCCUUUACCUUUGACUUUCAUAAUUCUAGGAAUCAAAUUCCUUGAUUUUUGGUGUCAAGAAAUAAUUUCUGAUAUCUUUAAUUUAAAGAAUCAAAUUCCUUAAUUCAAAAUAUCUAAAUUUAUUAUCUUUAUGAAACUAUUUCCUUAAUUAUCCAAUAAGCUUUUAAAUAUUAUUGACUCCUAUAACUUUAGAAAUCAAAUUCCAUGAUUUAUGGGUGUCAUAAAUUAAAUUCUAACAUCUUAAAGAAAUCAAAUUCCUUAAUUCUAAUUAUGUCAAAAUUAUCUUUUAUGGAAUCUUUCCAUAAUUCAUAAAAUAGCCUAUUUGUAAUUUAAAUUGCACCAAUUAAGGAUGCAAUAGGCAAGUAAUCAAUGCCAAAACAGAGGGAUUAGUCAGCUGCAGGCAACAUUGAUGCAGUCACAAUUUUUGAUUUUUAUGAGGCCUUAAAUUUAGGAAUUUUAAUUCCAAUAUUUUUUCUGGUUAGUCAACAUAUGGAACUACUCCAUAUCAAAUUUGCACGAUAUUUGGAUUCCAAAAUCACCCCAAAACCAUGACUCUUUUCUACUGUUGGAAGCAAUGGUGAAGUUAUAGUUCUAUGCUUUAAAGCAACUCAAAAUUAGGGAAUUUAAUCCCUAAUUUUUUUUCAUGGUUAGCUAACAUAUGGAGCCUUUCCAUAUUAAUUUUUCAUAAUUUUUGGAUGCCAAUAAGCUGCCCAAAAAAUUCAAAAAUUGUGACUUAUGUUUGUUGGACACACUCACGUUUCAACUACUUAGAUGGCACUAACAAUUCGAAAAUCCUAAUGAUCAAAUCCCUUGACUUUUGAACUUCAAAUUUUGGAAUAUUUGAACUCUUUCAAAGCCUAAAAUUUUAGCAAAUAAGUGCAAUUAAUUGCACAAAUUUAGUCUUCUUUUAAGUUGUCAAAAUUUGUCAAAAUCGUGGCCUAAAACAGCUACUAGCAAUAGUAGUUUCAACCAUGAUUUUGUGGCUAUUGCACCACCAUUCACCUUUGGCCAGCAAUCCCUCUUGGAACUAUUCCAAAGUACAUUGCUUCCAUAUUAUUUCCAGAAUUUUUCAAAGCCAUUAGAUGCCUUUUUAAUAUUGAAAACUGAAUCACAAAAAUUGCUAAAUAGAAUAGAAUUCUACCUUUUAAACUACACCAAAACAUGAUGAACUUGAAUCUAAUUUUGCAAAUUUAAUUUCUGCAUAUUAUCCACUUCUAAUCUAACCAAACCAAGACACUAAAACUCAUAUUAGUAUAUCAAAAAUGAAGAUUUAAAAUUCACUACUUAAAUCUGUCUAGAAAAUUGAAACAACUCCAAAAUAGCUUAAACUUGAAGAGCUCAUCUCAAAUAUAAACAUUGAAUUAACAACAAUGAGACAUCGUUUGUAUUAAAAUGAGUCAAGGGAGGCUCUGACACCAUUGAUAGAAUGCAUGAAAUUCAAAGAUAACAAUUAUCAUAUGCAGUAGAAAAUAAAAAUUUAAACGUACCAUGCCAUCUUGCAGCCCAUGGAUCACUUUAGUAGUUUUAAUACAAACAAAACUAGAAGAGAAGUAAUCAAAAAAUAAUAUUACCUUUACCUAGUGAUGUGGUAAUCACAAUGGCAAAUCCUCUUGAUUGAGAGAAGAUACAACACUAGUCUUGUUUCUACUUAAGCCUGUGUACACCACAAAGGGAGGAAGAACUCAAGUCACUCAAGCGUUUGACCUCCAACGGUUGCACGCACAAUUGCAUUUAAAACUUUACAAGGAAGGAGCUUUUUCAACUAUGCCUUGGUGCUAGCAAGGUGGACAACAACUUGUCCUCUCCCUACAAUCACACUCAUCUUAGUCGAAUCACAAAGUUGGAAACCUAUUUUUCAAGUCCCUCGAGAAAGUGUGCGGCUACGCUUUCUUGUUAGUUUUCUAACGACUCAAAAAACUAACUUUUGUUGGUUUCAUUAGUUUUUGAUGGUAAUAAAACAUUCCCAUUCACUUGUGUCUAAUAUCUUUACUUGAGUGUGCAGGAAAAUUAAUAUAUGAAAUUAAUCAUUUAACUCCUCAAAGAGUAUAUCAAAAGAAAAAGAGGAAUAAAAAUAACAAGAUGUAACUAUCUAACAAGGAGGAAGCCUAUUGGUGAAACAAGGAAGAAUAUUGGUUGACCAAGUUUCAAAUUGAAGGAAUGAUGAGCUGAAGAGUUUGAGAAACAAAACCAAUUUAGUUGACCAAGUCAGUCAACUAACUGCUCUCUGCCAGAAUCUACAACCUGAAACAGAACCAACUUAGUCGACCAUGUCAAGCCCAGCUCUACAAUAUUUUUGUUAUGCCAUUCUUACCUAAGAAUGCAUGUUUGCUUACUUGGGUACCUCGAAAAUCGUUAAAAGACGGCAAUGUACCAAAUGGUACAAUUAAGUUGAAUUAAGCCUCGAACUAGUCCAAAUAGAGAUUUUAAGAUGAAAUUGAGAAUUUUAAAAUCUCAGAAUGACUUAAAAUGGUGAUUCAGAGUUCGAGAACCGAUUUGGAGUCAAAUUGAAAUUUUCAUGACCUAGGGGCAAAAUGGUAUUUUGCCACCCGAGGUUAAGAUGUGAGUGUUGGAUGAAAGUUUUUACUAAGAUUAAUCAUUUGGAGUUUAAUUUGAGUUUGAGAAGUGAAGAAUUUUAAUUUCGACAUUUUUUCGAGCAUAGGGGUAAAGUAGUCAUUUUGCCACCUUAGGGGCAACAUUGUAAUUUUACACCACCCAACACUUGUCUAGCACAUGGAUUUUAUCCAAUAUUAUCAUGGAUAAUUGAGAAAAUUUAAGUGGUGGAGAGAGAUUGCUUAAUGGGUAAGUAUGACACAUGGACCAAUGGAAUGGUGACAUGUGUCAAAUUUUCAUCCAUUUAUUAUUUAGCUUAAAAAUCAGCACAAAAUCAGCCAAUUUCUCUUCAUAUGGCCAGCCAUCGCAAGAACAAAGGAAGAAAAGAAUGAACAAGAACCCUAGGGUGAAAAUUCAAGAGAAAAUUGGUGGAUUUCAAGUAAUCAAGCAAUCAAAGGUAAAAUUUCUUGAUUUUGACUUGUGAUCUACCUUUCCCAUACAUUCUUUUGCAUUUUCCAUGGUUGAAUCACAAGAUAUCAUGAAGGAUAGUGUACUGAUCAAACCCUAGGAGAGAGAAUUUGAUGAUGAUUUAGAUAGAUUUUUAAGAUAUAUGGAUGUUUUUAAUUGUUUAUGAUGUUAAGUGUAAGAAUUAAGCUUGAAAUUCACAUAUUCCUCAUGAGUUCAUCAUUGGCCGAAUCUUCCUUGUAGAGUGUUGAUGGUGGAUUUGAUUUUAUUUCAAGUGAAUUGGUUAGAAAAUGAUGAAUUAUGGUGAGAAAAUCAAGUAGGAAAAAUUAUAAUGUUGAUGCACCCACCAUGGCCGAAUUUUUCAAGAGAAAAUGUGAGGAUGAGUUUUUCAUAUUUCAAGUUAUUUAAUUUGUGUUUGAUGAUUUGGAGUAUUGGGAGAAAAAUGGAAUUGUUUGGAGUUAAAUUGGACAUAUUGGCCAAUUAAUCGAGUGAUAGAUCAAAUUAGGCCAAUACCGUUUUAUUUAAGUACACAAUUGAAUUUGUGUAGAACACCGUGUUUGGACGAUAAUCCGAACAAUUUACAUCCCAUUUCAUGCAUUAGUAUAGAGCCUGAAUUGGUUUUAUAACAAUUUAGCACAGAUAUAGUAAAUGGCUUAUUGUGCAUUAUGUCUAAGUGGUGAGCAUUCUAAUAAAAGUAAAGAGAUAGUACCCGAGGAUCAAGAAUCGAAGUACUCAGAAUUCGAUUUCCAUUACAGUGAGUAACCUUACUAUCGUCUUAAUUAUCUAAAGUGGUUUUAUUCAAUUUUGUGAUUUUAUGGAAAAUGAGUUUAAAUGGUAAAUCUUUAUGUUUUAUAAGCAAAAUGAGAUUAAAUGAAAAUGAUUUUAUAAAAUUAUCUUCAGAUUGAAUGAUGGUUUUGAAAAUAGAGUAAUUGGAGAUUGUUUUCAUGUGUUGUAAAUUCAUGGUUUGAAUCGAAUGGCUUAUGACAAUAUUUGCAUGAAUGGCUGAAUUGGUAAAUGUGCUGAAAAUAUAUGAACUGUGUAUUUAGCCUUGAGAGAUUGGAUUAUGAUAUAAUUGGCAUGUCAUGCAGUUGAGAUUUUAUUGAAUUGGUGGGUUUAGCUUGCUGUAGUGGGCGGGUUCCGUGGACCAGCCUAUUAAAGGGGGACGGUAACCCUAUUAUAUUCUUACCUCAGUCGGAGAGGCGUGUAGGGUAACUCCCGCAGUACACUUUUAGAGUUCACUUCACGCCAAACCACCACGUGAGGGUGAACUCAGCUAAUGUCAAGGAACGACUAUGUUUUCAAAAUAAAAAUAUGUUUAUGUGUAUAUGAAAUUUUUAACAGCCUUGGCGAACUUAGUUGGGAUAGCCCCAGGCCAAGGUAUCCCUGAUAAUUGAGUACAAGAAUGAUUUUGGCACGAGCCAAAGUUUUAAGAAAUUCAUAAGCCAUGUUGUUUACUUGAUUUAUAUGAAUUGAUUUUAUUUGGUUGAAAUGAGUUGAAAUGUGAUGAAUUACAAUAUGAUGAUCUAUUUUAAUCUGUCUCUAUUUACUCAGCUUUAGAUAUUUUAGAUGGUAUUUGUUUACUCACUGGGAUUAUAUAAUCUCACCACCCUCAUUUUCACCCAUUUCAGGCUCAAGAUAGUCUGUAGAUAGCUCACUUUGUUGAGGGCUACAGUUGGACUUGCAUCCUCAAAAACUGUAGGUUUACCGCUUUUGAUACUUUUGAUCCUUCAUGGGACCACGUGUCACUGUAAAUUAAAUCUUAUGCUUUGGUUAUCUGUAUUAUAGUAUGUUUGAAUUUAUUUAGCUUUUACGCUACAAAAAUUAUUUACUGGUAACUCUAUAAAUAUUGUUUUAUAAGAAAAUAGAAUAUUUUAUUGAAUAUUUUUAUUUUAUUCAAAUAGUUAUAAUUUCACUUUAAAUGAAUGUUUUAAAUAUCUAAACUUAUUUUGAUUAUGCAAUAUGUGGUUUCCACUCGCAUACUACAUUUUUAGCUGGUUUUGAAAUUUUUGAAAAAAAUGACCAAAAUACCCCUGUGUAGUUGAAAUUUCUCUUUAACUGUUUUUUGAAUUGAAAUUAGUUCAUAUCACUUUAAAACAUGAUUUUAGUAACUAAUACUCACAGGGGAAGCGAGAAAAACUAAUGUUAAGCCUUACGAGGUUUCAAUUGGCAUUCCGGGUAAUGAAUGUCUAUCGAAACAUCGCGGCGGUUGUUAUGGGCUUGAAGGGAGUUCUGGGUCAUGACAGACUAAGUCAGUUGACUAAGAGCUCUCUGUCUGUAAUUUGAACCAGAGCAUUACAAGACAGAUUAACGGCUAGAACUCAUCCUAACUACUUCCAACGGACAUAAAACUGCCAAACUGCCAUCAGAGUUACAUCUCCAAAUAUAAAAAGGUCUUCCAAAAAUUAGAAACAAGUUUUAGAAGCCUUGAAUGAGAUUUGAGCUAUAGAAAGUUGAAAAACCAAAAAAUCUUCACUGCACUUGUCUGCACUUAAACGCCUACUCUUUGCAUUUGUAUUUUGCACUCAAUCUUGUACCAAUCAGAUCAACUAGUGAUCAUAGGUACUUUCUUUUACUAAUUUUCUUGUAUUCCUAGAGUGAGGAAGUCACUCCAAGGGGUUGUUCAAGCUUGGGAUAGCUUGAUUAUUGUAGGUUGUGGUUGAGCCAUGGAAAACCACUUUGGGUUUUAGUUUAGCCCGUGAAAAACUAGUGUAAAAAGUUUUGGUUGAGCCAGCUAAAAGCCAUUGUAAAGCUUGGUGAAAGCUUGUGAAUUUCACUGGUUCUUAGUAAAUUUGUGGGAAAAUCCUUGGUUAGACAAUCAAGGUAGUGGAUGUAGGUCUUGGAUUUAACCACUCUAAAUUGCUGUGCAUCUUGUACUCUAUUUUUAUUUUCUUAAGUUCUGGAAAGUAGUUUCCAAUAUUAUUAAGAGCCAAAUUGUGCUAUUCACCCCUCCUCUAGCACCUAUUAUAGGGACCAACAAUUGGUAUCAGAGUUAGUUCCCUGUUAUUAAGGCUUAACAUCCUUUGGGAGGAUCCAAAUGGCUUAACAAAAAUCCAUAGUUGCUAAAGGACAAUCAACAAAUAGACCACCUUUGUUUAAUGGCUCUAAUUACCCUUAUUGGAGCACAAGAAUGUCAAUCUAUAUUAGAGCUAUAGACUAUGAAAUGUGAGACGUCAUAACUGAUGGACCCUUUAUGCCCACAACCGCGAAUGUAGUGACAAAUAAGUUGAUGCCCAAGCGAAGGUUUGAAUGGAUUGAGGCUGAAACUAAGAAAGUUCAAAUAAAUUUUAAGGCCAUCAACACAUUACAUUGUGCCUUGACCCUCACUAAAUUUAACAAAGUCUCAAGCUGUACAACAGUUAAACAAGUGUAGGAGAAACUUAGAAUAAUCCAUGAAGGGACUUCUCAAGUCAAUGAGUCCAAAAUUACCCUUUUAACACAUAAUUAUGAAAUGUUCAAAAUGGAGCCUGGUGAAGACAUCACCAGCAUGUUUGAUAAAUUUACAAACAUCACAAAUAAAUUGAGUCAACUAGGAAAGCCUAUUCCUGAACAUGAAUUAGUGAAAAGACUGCUUAGGAGUCUACCAAAAAACUGAAAGCCUAAAGUGACUGCCAUUAGAGAGGCUAAAUAUCUUAACUUCAUCACACUUGAUGAGAUUUGUGGUUCUGUUCUUACUCAUGAGCUAGAGCUUAAGGAAGAAGAAGAAAAAGACAGAAGGGAAGCAAAGGAAAAGAAAAAGAGAAUUCACUUAAAGUUAGCGUCCUUGAAGAAAAGCUGGAAAUGUUUUCCUAUGAUGAUGAUGAAGAAUUAGCUCUGGUUGUAAGAAAAUUCUGAAAGCUAAUGAACAGAAAAAACCGAAGGCUAGCUAGAAGAGGUUUUAAGAAAAACCAAGUUGACUCAUGGAAAAACAGAAGCAAAAUUGACUCUAACAAAAAAGAGGAGCUCAUUUGCUACGAGUGCAAGAAACCUGGUCACUUCAAGUUUGAAUGCCCAUUGCUGACAGAUGAAACUCCCAAGAAAAAUAAGAAAUCCAAGAAAGCAAUGGUGGUUGCUGAAUGGUUGGAUAAUGACACUUCAAGCUCUGAAGCUGAAGAUGAAAAAUCUGAGGAAAAAGCCAAUAUUUGUUUGAUGGCACAAGAUGAUGAAACAAAGGUAUCCUCAUCCCUCUGCAAUAAUUCUUUUGAUGACUUGCAAGAUGAGUAUGACUGCCUUUACGAUGAAUUUGAAAAGCUUUUUUCAAAAUACAAAUCACUAAAGAAAGAGGCUGCAUUACUUGAGAAUGAUUUAGAUCAAAUCAAACAAGAGUUUACUUUUGUUUUUGAGCAAAGAAAUAUUUUGCAAAUUGAGUUAGAACACUCAAAAACAGACUUUGAGGUUUUAAAACAAGAGUUGGAAAACAAGUCUGAAGCUUUGCAAAUAACUUUUGAUGAAAACACAGCUCUUAAAAGUUUGAAAAAUGAAUUUUUAAAAAGAGAUAUGUACAAAAAGAAAGAUUCUGCUAAUGCAUCACUAAGAUGCUACAUGAAAUACCCCAUACUUUGAUAUGGUGAUAAAUAAAGUUGAUCGAAUGCAAAUUGAGGUCAAUUAAAAUGUUUAGAAGUAAUAAAAGACGAAAGGAGUAGUUUAGGAUAAAAUAUUUCGCAAGUGAGAAAAUAAUAAUAAAAUAAUAAUAAUUUUAUCAGAGGAGAAUUUGUGAGAUAAAAAGAGAUUUGGAAGUCAAGUGAGGCAUAAUAAGGUAUUUUGGAUACCAAGGAGACAAGAUAAAAUUUUUAGAAUAAAAUAAUAUUAAAAUAUUAAUAUUUAGUCAGAUGUCGAAGUCAAUCAAGAAGAAAGAUCAUAUGGUUGAUCCAAGUGGGAGAGAAGAUGACAAGCCCGACUUUAUAAAAAUAUUUAUCAUGACAUACAUGUGAUGGAUAGCAUGUUUGCAUGCUAGGAGAGUCCCAAAAAAUUUACAAAAGUCGGUAUUAUACCUAGAGGUACAAUAAAGUUGAUUUAAGCCUCGAACCAGAUCAAAUAGAGAAUUUAUGAUGAAAUUAAGAAUUUUAAAGUCUCAGAAUGGUUUAAUAUGGUGAUUCGGAGUUCGAGGAUCAAUUUGGAGUCAAACCGAAAUUUUCGCUAUCCAGGGGCAAAAUGGUCAUUUACCACCUGGGGACAAAAUGAGAAUUUUAGAAAAGAUUUUUUUUUACCCAUUUGACUUAUUGGAGUAUAAUUUGACUUAUUGGAGUAAGAUUUGAGGUUUAGAAGUGAAAAAUUUUAAUUUCGGUAUAAUUUAGAGUAAAAGGGUAAAAUGGUAAUUUUGCCACCCCAGGGGCAAAAUUAUAAUUUUCCACCACCAGGACAUUUUUCCAGCACAUGGUCUUCCUUUAUCCUCAUUUUGACCAUUGACUAAUUGUGUGGUGGAGAUAAAAAGGAUUAAAAUUUUUAAAAUUUUAAAAACGAGCCAAUGACAUGAUGCCAUGUGUCAUACCUUUAUUAUUUUAUUAUUUCUUUAUAAAAAGGCAUAAAAUCAGCCUAUCUUCCACCCUAUGGCCGGCCAAACCAGCAAGAAGAGAGAGAAAAAAAAACAAAACCCUAGAGAGAGAAAAUCAAAGAAAAAGUGUGAAUUUUCAAGAAAAUUAAGUUAAAAAUGUGAGAUUUUUUCUACUAAGCUUGAGUUUUCUUAUUCCCAAGCAUUUCUCUUUAUUUUCCAUGAUUAAAUUACAUGUUUUCAUGAUGAAUUCAAUUCUGAAAAAAAUGGGUUAGGAGAGAGAAACUUAUUAGAUUAAUUUGAUUUUAAGUUAUGUUAGUGUUUUAAGUUAGUUUAGCAUAUUUAGAAACAAAACAACAAGAAAAAAACUUAUUUUCUCCCACAAUCAUUAAUGGCCGAAUUUAUCAUGUGUUGAGUGAGAAUAAAUUUGAUUUUCAUUUUAGGAGAAUUGGUUAAGAAAUGAUGAAUUAUGAGCCUAGAAAAAUAAUGGAAAUUUUCGAAGCAAAAAUAUGAUUUUUACCCACUAGGGGUAUUUUCGUAAUUUGCUACUGAGACUGAUAAAUUGAAUCUCAUUCACAGUCAUGGAGCUAAUUUAGUUAUAAUUGGAGUGUAGAAAGUGAGAAGAAUUGAUUUGGAGUUAAAUUGGAGAUAAUAGGCCGAAUUAGGUCAACACCGCAUUUAAGCGGUAGUCGGAUAAGUUGUAUAUCCUAUCAUGCAUAUAUACCGAGCCUGAAUUGAUUUUAUAAUAGUCAAGCAUUGAUGUGAUGAAUUAUGUAUUGUACAUUGUGGAUAGGUGGUGAGCAAAGUACCCUGGUAAAAGUACAGAUAUUGUGCUGGGAGACUGGGAUUAGGAGUACAUCGACUCCUAAAACUGUGAGUGAACUUAUUAUCGUCUUAAUUACCAAGAGUAGUUUUAUACAAUUGUGUGAUUUUAUGAAAAAUGAGUUUAGAUGGUAAAUUGUUAUGCUUUUUGAAUAAAUGUGAUUUUAUAAAAUGAUUUUAUAAAUUUUCUGAAAAAUUGAAUACUGGUUUUGAAAAUAGAGUAAUUAGAGACUGCUAGUUUGUGUUGCAAAUUUAUGGUUUUGAAUUGAAUGGCUUAUGACAAUAAAUGAGCAUGAAUGGCUAAACUAAUUUUGGUGUUAGAAUUAUUUAUACUGUGUAUUCAGCCUUGAGAGGCUAGGUUGCGAUAAAUUGCCAUGUCAUACUAGAAUGAAUUUUAUUGAUUGGUGGAUUAUAUAUUAAUUAUUUACUGCAGAGGGGGUUCCGUGGACCAGCCUAUUAGAGGGGCACAGUAAACUCCAUUAUAUUAUUACCUCGAACGGAGAGGCGCGUAGGGUAUCUCUUGGGGUAAAGCUUAGGGUUCACUUCACGCCAAACCACCACGUGAAGGGGAACUCAGCCAACGUCAAGGAACGACUGUAUUUUUCUCAAACUAAAAAUAUAUUUUAAGUGUAUACA